AUUCUCCACCCACAUCCACCACCGACGGUCAGGGCCUUGCAAAUGGCCAGCUCCCGAGACCACACAGAUGCUGGGCGGGUCUCCGCUCCUGCGUCUGGAGGAACACAAGGCGUUCCGACACCCAGUGACUCCUUCCAGCAGCCUUCGAAGCACACUCCCAAGCCACCAGGCUGCCGAUCCACCUCCCAAUGCUACAGGGACGCCUGUGUCCUCUGCCUGACAGGAGGCGUCUUGGACCAGACAGUCCCCGGUGCCCAGGAACCAACGCAAAGGCCUCUGGGCGCUUGCUGUGGCUUCCUAUCCACACACUCUCCAUCCCACCACUCAGCCUGCACCUGCAGCCUUGCCGCUGCACCUGGGUCCAGAAGGUGCUCUGGCGCCGUCUUGUGGACACCUGCUCUAACAGCAACUCUCAGGUUUUCCUCCUCUCUCUGCCUCAGCCGCCCCCCAGGGCGGCACUGGCUGGGGGCAAUAUGCUCCUGGAAUGGCCUUCCCCCGCAGCUGCCGCCGCCGCCGCCGCCCCCGCCGCCGGCCUGAUCUAGCAAGAAGGGCCAAUCCAGGAGGGCCAUUGCUCUCUCAAAGGCUUUCGGAGCCUGGAGGCCCACCUCCACCUUGCCACUCCAUGCAAACCUUCAGCUCCCAACCCAUCCUAUCAGGACAGCCUUCUCCCUUUGGGAGAUAGCCCUGCCACGAUGCCGUUAUGGAGACAGGUCCGUAGUGUAUGGACCCCACCGCAGCUGGCCUGAGUUGUCUGCACGUCGAUGUUUUCCCAGCAGCAGAGUGUAUGGACCCCACCGCAGCUGGCCUGAGUUGUCUGCACGUCGAUGUUUUCCCAGCAGCAGAGGUGAGCACGCCCGCCACAGGGACAAAGACAGCUCUGUUCCCCAGGGGAUUGGGGGGACUCUUGGGGACACCUCCCUUGUUCGCAAUCAAUCUACCAGCCUUAGGUCCGAUUUCCGGACCAGCUGUAUUGAGGGAACGGAAGAGGCUCCAAGGUAAAGACAAGGACGGCGUUUCAGGAGACCUCAGGCGAGAAACUGCCCAGGGAUUAACACAGCUGCUCACCAAAGGAUCACCGUUUGACCACCUUCCAUGCACGACCCUCAGGCACUUUCCUCCUGGCACCAGAGCCCAGGUCAGCCUGGGGUCUCCCAAUCAACAGCUCGACCGCAGACACCAGCCAACAGCCCAACAAAACCCCAAACCCAAGGGGAAAAUGGCAAAAGACCUCAAGAGACAUUUCCCGAAACAGACAUGCAGAGGGCAAAAAGCACUGGGAGACAUGUGCCCCGCAUCCCUCAUGAGGAGAGACAUGCACGUCAAAGGGACUCUGCAGGACCAACCCACCUCUCUCUGAAGGGCCACCAUUAGGAAGUCUACAAGGCACACAUCCCUGAGAGGGUGUGGACAAGAAGAUGCCCUCCUCCACGGUGGGUAUUUUUGUACGUGUGGACAACCGCGAUGGACCACACGAUCGAGGGAAUCCACAAAAAUCAAUAGCGGACGACCUCAGCACCCAGGCCUCCCACUCUUGGUCCUAUUUCCGGAAUUGGGUCUUUGAAAAAUGUAAAAGCCCCCGCUAUGUUCAUGCAGCACACUUCCCAAUAGCCAGCCAUGGAAAACAACUCAAUGUCCAUCGAGAGAUGAUUGGAUUAGGAAGAGAGUGGAUAUGUACACAUUGGAAUGCUCCUCAAACAUUGAGAAAAAAAAAAAAAAGCAGAACCCCGAAAACCCCAGAGCAAGAGGAAAAUGCCAUUCGCAGCCAUGUAGGUGGCACGAGAAGCUAGGUGACACCUCGUUUCAUACUAGGUGAACUAAGUCGGAACACGAACGACACAUACCAAGGGCUAUCCCUUCUAUGUGGAAGCUAGCAAAUGGAACCAACGAACCUUUCUAUGUAGAAGCAGCUCAUAGACUGGAAAACAUCGCUGUGGUUGCCAGAUGGUAGGGGGAGGCUGUGGGAAGGCCUGGGAUUUGGGAGUGGUAGAGUCAACCUCUUGUGCUUGGCAUGUGUUAGCAAUGAAGUCCUGCUCUAUAGCACAGGGAUUAUACCUGGCCACUUCUGUGGAACCAAAAUGGAAGACACUGCGACCAAAAGAAGAUGCAUAUACAUGUACGACUGGAUCGCGUUUGUGCUCAAGUGAAACUGGGCACCAUACAUCCGUGAGAAUGGAAAAUAAUCACCGAUAAAAUCCCACACCCUUAAUGGCUUGGGAUUCCCCACAGCAUGUGCUAUGGUACAUAGCCCUGCCUCUCAGGAGAAGCCAGGCGGGCUCCGUUGACCCUGACAAGGGGCACUGGCACUAUGAGCUGGGACCCGACGUGAUGACCAAGCGUGGAUAAAUUUCUUUCUGUACUAGCAUUUCCUUUUAUGUUUCUAAAUCCCUAAUUGAUGUUCCUGCCCCCAUGUGUGGCAUGCAGAUACACUCUGCCCCGGCAAUGAAUCCACUGCGAUGCUGUCCAUCCCAAGGCUUGCCCUUCAAACACUCUGCCACCUGAGGCAGAGGGUCAGGAGAGCCUUUGGGACUGCCUCAUCUGGCAAUACCCUUAGCUACACUGUCAGAAUAAGCAUGUGUACCCCUUUUCUUCUUUCUCAAUUAAGCUCAUACUGUCCCCAUCUCUUCGUCUUUAUAAAUGGAUCUCGAUGCCCCCUGUGACAAUGGGGUGCCCUUUGGCCAGACUUGGAUCUCGCUGGAGCCAUGUCCACAGCCACAGCACUGACAGAUAGACACUCUCAAGCCAGGCAGCCACGAGGGAACUCCCUGAGAGCUUGCUGGGUGAUUCCAAUCAACCCUGCUUCAUUCACCAGACCUGGCGUCGCUAUCUCUCUCU
rnacentral:lncRNA from 9 species